rnacentral:rRNA from 1 species
UACAGAGGGGGCAAGCGUUGUUCGGAAUUACUGGGCGUAAAGGGCGCGUAGGCGGCCUUCUAAGUCGAACGUGAAAUCCCUGGGCUCAACCCAGGAACUGCGUCCGAUACUGGAAGGCUUGAAUCCGGGAGAGGGAUGCGGAAUUCCAGGUGUAGCGGUGAAAUGCGUAGAUAUCUGGAGGAACACCGGUGGCGAAGGCGGCAUCCUGGACCGGUAUUGACGCUGAGGCGCGAAGGCCAGGGGAGCAAACGGG